rnacentral:sRNA from 1 species
UCUUGGUAUGGUGGAGUAUGCCUUUAAUCCCAGCUAUAGGGGAGGUUAAGGUUGUCAAAAUCUUGAUAUGCUGAUUGUGUCUCUACACUGUUUGGCAUCAAUAUGGUGAGCUCCUGGGAACAGCAGUCCACUAGGCUGCCCAAGCAGGGUAAAUCAGCACUGGUAAGAAAUAGAGAAGGUCAAAGCGCCCAUGCCAAUUGGUAGUAAGAUUGGGCCCGUGAGAGGUUGCUGUACUUCCAGCCUGAGU